AACGAAAGUUGUAGGCGAUGGACAACAGGUUGAGAUUCCUGUACCACCGAGGAUCAUUUGAAUGAAGUGGGGACGCAGGAGGAUAGGCUGAGCGCGCCGUUGGUGGAGCGCGUCCAAGCACGGAGGGAGUUGGCCAGGCAAAUCCGGUCAGCGAGUUCCUGACGUGUGAUGGGGAGGGAAAACAAGUACCGAAGCAGCUGAUUUCACACUGCCAAGAAAAGCCGCUGGUGAGAUCCAAGGUGCCCGUACCGCAAACCGACACAGGUAGAUGAGGAGAGAAUCCUAAGGCAGCGAGAGAACUAUUGUUAAGGAACUCGGCAAAAUGACCCCGUAACUUAGGGAGAAGGGGUGCUGCAGAAAUGCAGCCGCAGUGAAGAGGCCCAGGCGACUGUUUACCAAAAACACAGGUCUCUGCGAGAGCGAAAGCUGAAGUAUAGGGGCUGACGCCUGCCCGGUGCUGGAAGGUUAAGGGGAAGUGUCAGGGCGACCGAAGCACAGAACUUAAGCCCCAGUAAGCGGCGGCCGUAACGAUAACGGUCCUAAGGUAGCGAAAUUCCUUGUCGGGUAAGUUCCGACCCGCACGAAAGGCGUAACGAUCUGGGCACUGUCUCGACAAUAGGCUCGGUGAAAUUGUAGUACCGGUAAAGAUGCCGGUUACCCGCAGCAGGACGGAAAGACCCCGUGGAGCUUUACUGCAGUUUGAUAUUGAGUUUUGGCAUUGCAUGUACAGGAUAGGUGGGAGACAGAGAAGUAUGCACGCCAGUGUGUACUGAGUCGCCGUUGGGAUACCACCCUUGUAAUGUUGGAAUUUAACCAUGGCCCGUGACCCGGGUCGGGGACAGUGUCAGACGGGCAGUUUGACUGGGGCGGUCGCCUCCUAAAGAGUAACGGAGGCGCCCAAAGGUUCCCUCAGUGCGGUUGGAAACCGUGCGAAGAGUGCAAAGGCAGAAGGGAGCUUGACUGCGAGACAAACAGGUCGAGCAGGGACGAAAGUCGGGCUUAGUGAUCCGGUGGUACCGAGUGGAAGGGCCAUCGCUCAACGGAUAAAAGCUACCCCGGGGAUAACAGGCUGAUACCCCCCAAGAGUCCACAUCGACGGGGGUGUUUGGCACCUCGAUGUCGGCUCGUCUCAUCCCGGGGCUGAAGCAGGUCCCAAGGGUUGGGCUGUUCGCCCAUUAAAGAGGUACGCGAGCUGGGUUCAGAACGUCGUGAGACAGUUCGGUCCCUAUCCGCUGUGGGCGUUGGAGGUUUGAGUGGAGCUGCCCUUAGUACGAGAGGACCGGGGUGGACAUACCGCUGGUGCACCGGUUGCAGUGCCAACUGCACAGCCGGGUAGCUAAGUAUGGGGAUAAGCGCUGAAAGCAUCUAAGUGCGAAGCCCCCCACGAGAAAAGACCUCCUUGAGAAUAUCUGAAGAUCCCUGGAAGACUAACAGGUAGAUAGGUCGGAGGUGUAAGUGCAGCGAUGCAUGUAGCUGACCGAUACUAAUAGAUCGAACGCUUGAU
rnacentral:rRNA from 1 species